rnacentral:rRNA from 1 species
UUCAGGGGGGGAACGGGUGAGUAACGCGUGGAUGAUCUACCUAUGAGAUGGGGAUAACUAUUAGAAAUAGUAGCUAAUACCGAAUAAGGUCAGUUAAUUUGUUAAUUGAUGAAAGGAAGCCUUUAAAGCUUCGCUUGUAGAUGAGUCUGCGUCUUAUUAGCUAGUUGGUAGGGUAAAUGCCUACCAAGGCAAUGAUAAGUAACCGGCCUGAGAGGGUGAACGGUCACACUGGAACUGAGAUACGGUCCAGACUCCUACGGGAGGCAGCGGCUAAGAAUCUUCCGCAAUGGGCGAAAGCCUGACGGAGCGACACUGCGUGAAUGAAGAAGGUCGAAAGAUUGUAAAAUUCUUUUAUAAAUGAGGAAUAAGCUUUGUAGGAAAUGACAAAGUGAUGACGUUAAUUUAUGAAUAAGCCCGGCUAAUUACGUGCCAGCAGCCGCGGUAAUACGUAAGGGGCGGCCGUUG